rnacentral:rRNA from 1 species
CCUACGGGGGGCAGCAGUGAGGAAUAUUGGUCAAUGGACGAGAGUCUGAACCAGCCAAGUAGCGUGAAGGAUGACUGCCCUAUGGGUUGUAAACUUCUUUUAUAUGGGAAUAAAACGUUCCACGUGUGGGAUUUUGUAUGUACCAUAUGAAUAAGGAUCGGCUAACUCCGUGCCAGCAGCCGCGGUAAUACGGAGGAUCCGAGCGUUAUCCGGAUUUAUUGGGUUUAAAGGGAGCGUAGGUGGAUUGUUAAGUGAGUUGUGAAAGUUUGCGGCUCAAACGUAAAAUUGCAGUUGAAACUGGCAGUCUUGAGUACAGUAGAGGUGGGCGGAAUUCGUGGUGUAGCGGUGAAAUGCUUAGAUAUCACGAAGAACUCCGAUUGCGAAGGCAGUUCACUGGACUGCAACUGACACUGAGGCUCGAAAGUGUGGGUAUCAAACAGGAUUAGAUACCCUAGUAGUC